rnacentral:pre_miRNA from 1 species
UGUUGAAAAUUUUAUUCAUUUCUACAGUUAAAAAUUGAUCAUGUAACGUGUCAUAGGUAACUAAUGCUGGCAUAUAAAGAUUAUCUUUUAACAGUAAAAAUGAAUGAAAUUUUUAUCA